UAAUUUAUGGAACAUUGCAACUUCGACAACCAGAGAUUGUGUGGGAUGAGUCACGGAACCUUCCAGGUGGAGUUUGAGGUGCGUAAAGGAGCAGGACUGUCUACAGACCAUGAUUCCUGGAACAAUCCCUGUGAAGUCUGAAUGCUAGAAAACGGGAGAUGGCUACUUAAAGUUCCUAACCUUGACGCACCAGAAGCAUAGAGAAUUCCUCAAGGGAGGUAACAUUUUCUUCCUCAUCACCAUGCAAGAUAUCUCCAGUCUGCAUUUUACCAACUCCCUGCCCUGUCCCAAAUGGUCACCACAGAACUUAAUUAGAAACCCAAACAACCGUGAUCAAGGCCCAUGUGCCACAGUAAGAAAGAUCAGAUCAAGGACAGAUUAGCAUAGAUUUGAUCAAUUCCAAUAUUUGUGCU